rnacentral:rRNA from 1 species
AAUGAACGCUGGCGGCGUGCCUAAUACAUGCAAGUCGAGCGAACGGACGAGAAGCUUGCGCCUUUGAUGUUGGCGGGGGACGGGUAAGUGACACGUGCAUAGGCUACUUCUAAGACGGGGAUAACUACGGAAAAACAGAUCUGAUAACGGCUAAUAUUUUCAACGGCAGAGAUCAAAAGUGAUUGACACUCUUCCCGACACAUAUAGCUGGAUCCGCGCUGCAUUAUCUAGUUGGUAAGGUAACGGCUUACCAAGGCGACGAUGCAUAGCCGACCUGAGAGGGUGAUCGGCCACACUGGAACUGAGACACGGUCCAGACUCCUACGGGAGGCAGCAGUAGGGAAUCUUGCACAAUGGGCGCAAGCCUGACCGAGCAAUGCCGCGUGAGUGAUGAAGGUCUUCGGAUCGUAAAACUCUUUUAUUAGGGAAGAACAUAUGUGGGAUUAUCCCUGCCUAUCUUGACGGUACCUAAUCAGAAAGCCCCGGCUAACUACGUG